GUUUGAUCCGCAUCCAUCGACCUAUGGACGCUUUUUGAUAUACCCCAGUAUCUCCAGGCAGAGGACAUUGAGGAGAAUCACGUUUUCUAACAGCUCUUUCAGAGUUUGACAGUGUUUAUGCGGAACCAGGAAAUAGAUGUUGCAGCUGGAGACACAUGCAUGGUCAUCUUAAUUCAUAAGCGAGGUGACAAAGAAUUCAUCUGGCCGGUUUUAAGACAGAAGCCAUCGGACAACAACAUUUCAGGAAUUUUAGCUAGCAGUUUAUGAGAUGCAGCACACUCCCUCAACAAAACUUAAGAUCAAAGACCAGGAGACUGAUGUUACCAGAUCUAAUGCUGUCGACUACAGUAUUGUCUUUCCCGUGACACUGGACUGCUGGCUCAUGUCUGCCUGGAUUAUUUCAUUGUUGUACAACUUUAACUGGGAAACAUGUUGAAUCACUUGCAAAUAUGACAAGCUUAGAUCUCUUUAAUGCUUGCAAUGAAAGUUUGGUGUAUGGUUGCUUUUGCCUGCUGUAUCAUAUGUUUUUCUGGUCAUUUCCUGGCCUCGUCAGAUUAGUACUUUUUCACAAAAGCUGUA